UUCAGAAGGGAAGAUUUCCCUGGGGCAGACACAGCUUCUCAGUGCCCAGAUGUUAAACCUGGCUUAAAGCCUCAAAACUGGAUCUACAACAGUAAGAUAGGUUAGGACAGUGCCGAAUUUCCAUGUUACAGGUGGGCACAGGGGAAGAAAUUUUCAAAUAGUCUUAUUUGUCCAAUAGUCCUUUUGAAUGCAAAUGGACACAUGUUCCUUGCAAUUGUGUAGGGAUCUAGCAUUUACAGUGAUGCAAUUUAAAAGCUACAAAAGUCAUUAAAGACAGUUAAAAAUACCUGAAUAGCAGAUGUAAAUCUGCAAAUCCAUCUUUUAUUAAUUUACAUACAGAAGUUUCUGAAGUUUCUGGGGAAACUGAUCUGUUUAGCUGUAGCUGGAAUUGUUCCUCAGAUAUAUUUGCUUGGAAAUAUUUUGUUCCCUGUAAUCACUGAAGAAGUUCCUUUUGUCCAUCUUCCAGCAAGUGGCAUGCUCAUCACCCAGCUGUGUUUUGCUGAAGCACUAAGCAUGCACAAGUGACAACAGUAACUUAGAUAGUACCAAUGUCUUCGUGAAUAGCUGUUUGAGGUGGGCACAGAAGUGUUUCACUUUUUCACUGUAUCUAGUGAAAACGUGCCAUUUCUCUUGUACAUUUUAAAGAAACUGCUGUCCUACAGUUGGAGUAAUGCAGAUUAGGAAGGAAUAUAGACAAAAUGUGACUUUCUACUCAAAGCAACAUUGGAAAAAUACCUAACUCUUUAACAGGAGGUGGUAGUCAACACAAGCUGCACAGAUUUCGGUAAUUAUCUGGAUAACAUAUCCCCUCAAUCCCCAUGUGUCUCUGGUAUUAUCAGUUUGGCUCUGAGGUAAAUGUAGACCCUGGUGAUGAAAUCUAUGGAAUUAAGAUUUCAUUCUGAAUACCUUUUUUUAGUAUUCCACUUCUUUUGCAUGUCAGUGCAUGGAGGGGAUAGUUUGCCCCAAGAGCCACCUGUUUUUUUCUUUAACUGAUUACACAUGUGUACAGUUGGAAAGCUCUAGUUCUUUAAAGCAAAGACUGUGGUGCUUUGCUUGUUUGUACCUUCUUUUGUUCAGCCAACAAGGUUAAUUCUGCUGAAAAUUAAUGAAUACUCUUGCA